rnacentral:rRNA from 1 species
UAGGCGACGAAGUGGUUGAUACCAUGCUUCCAAGAAAAGCUCCUAAGCUUCAGAUAACUGGGAACCGUACCCCAAACCGACACAGGUGGUUAGGUAGAGAAUACCAAGGCGCUUGAGAGAACUCGGGUGAAGGAACUAGGCAAAAUGGCACCGUAACUUCGGGAGAAGGUGCGCCGGCGAGGGUGAAGGACUUGCUCCGUAAGCCCAUGCCGGUCGAAGAUACCAGGCCGCUGCGACUGUUUAUUAAAAACACAGCACUCUGCAAACACGAAAGUGGACGUAUAGGGUGUGACGCCUGCCCGGUGCCGGAAGGUUAAUUGAUGGGGUUAGCGCAAGCGAAGCUCUUGAUCGAAGCCCCGGUAAACGGCGGCCGUAACUAUAACGGUCCUAAGGUAGCGAAAUUCCUUGUCGGGUAAGUUCCGACCUGCACGAAUGGCGUAACGAUGGCGGCGCUGUCUCCACCCGAGACUCAGUGAAAUUGAAAUCGCUGUGAAGAUGCAGUGUAUCCGCGGCUAGACGGAAAGACCCCGUGAACCUUUACUAUAGCUUUGCACUGGACUUUGAAUUUGCUUGUGUAGGAUAGGUGGGAGGCUUUGAAGUGGGGACGCCAGUUCUCAUGGAGCCAUCCUUGAAAUACCACCCUGGCAACUUUGAGGUUCUAACUCAGGUCCGUUAUCCGGAUCGAGGACAGUGUAUGGUGGGUAGUUUGACUGGGGCGGUCUCCUCCCAAAGAGUAACGGAGGAGUACGAAGGUGCGCUCAGACCGGUCGGAAAUCGGUCGUAGAGUAUAAAGGCAAAAGCGCGCUUGACUGCGAGACAAACACGUCGAGCAGGUACGAAAGUAGGUCUUAGUGAUCCGGUGGUUCUGUAUGGAAGGGCCAUCGCUCAACGGAUAAAAGGUACUCCGGGGAUAACAGGCUGAUACCGCCCAAGAGUUCAUAUCGACGGCGGUGUUUGGCACCUCGAUGUCGGCUCAUCACAUCCUGGGGCUGAAGCCGGUCCCAAGGGUAUGGCUGUUCGCCAUUUAAAGUGGUACGCGAGCUGGGUUUAGAACGUCGUGAGACAGUUCGGUCCCUAUCUGCCGUGGACGUUUGAGAUUUGAGAGGGGCUGCUCCUAGUACGAGAGGACCGGAGUGGACGAACCUCUGGUGUUCCGGUUGUCACGCCAGUGGCAUUGCCGGGUAGCUAUGUUCGGAAGAGAUAACCGCUGAAAGCAUCUAAGCGGGAAACUUGCCUCAAGAUGAGAUCUCACUGGGAUCUUGAAUCCCCUGAAGGGCCGUCGAAGACUACGACGUUGAUAGGUUGGGUGUGUAAGCGCUGUGAGGCGUUGAGCUAACCAAUACUAAUUGCCCGUGAGGCUUGACCAU